UACGUAGGGGGCAAGCGUUGUCCGGAUUUAUUGGGCGUAAAGAGCGUGUAGGCGGCCUGGAAGGUCAGCUGUGAAAACUCGAGGCUCAACCUCGAGACGUCGGUUGAAACCACCUGGCUAGAGUCCGGAAGAGGAGAGUGGAAUUCCCGGUGUAGCGGUGAAAUGCGCAGAUAUCGGGAAGAACACCGGUGGCGAAGGCGGGUCUCUGGGCCGAUACUGACGCUGAGGAGCGAAAGCGUGGGGAGCGAACAGG
rnacentral:rRNA from 1 species